rnacentral:lncRNA from 1 species
CGUGUGCCUUGUUCCUCUGCUCUCUGUUUCUCUCCGUUGCAAGCAGGCUGAAAGAUUGGUCUGAUUUAUUUUCAUCUCUGCUGCCAGGGGCCCUAGGGCAAUGCCAGCGAUCUACAACGUGGCGACAUGGUGAGCGAUUGUGGAGUAGCCUUGAAUGGUUGGUGUGACUUGCUUUGACCUUUGCUGCUGGGUGCCUUGGCGGAGUGCUGGCGAGCUAUUGAGUCUCAUCAUGAAUGCAGUGACUUAUGAGGACGUGCAUGUGAACUUCACUCAAGAGGAGUGGGCUCUGCUGGAUCCUUCUCAGAAGAAGCUCUACAAAGAUGUCAUGCUGGAGACCUACAGGAACCUCAAUGCUAUAGGAUUUAAUUGGGACGACAAAAAUAUUCAAGAACAUUGUCCAAGUUCUAGAAGACACAGAAGUUUUAAGAUGAUC